rnacentral:rRNA from 1 species
CGCGGUAUCUUGACCGUGCAAAGGUAGCAUAAUCAUUUGCCUUUUUAUUGGAGGCUAGAAUGAAGGAAAAAAUAAGAAUAUGACUGUCUCUAUUGCAAAAUAAAAAUUGCUGGUAGCGUGAAGAAGCGAAAGUAACAAAAAAAGACAAGAAGACCCUAUUAAGCUUUACUUUAAAAUUUUAUUUUUUAUCUUAAAAGAAUAAAAAAUAAAAUUAUGGUAGUUUGGUUGGGGUGACUAAAAAGGAAAAAAUCCUUUUUUUAGAAGAGUACUUUAAGUUUAAUAAAAGAUCCAAGCUUUUUGAUUAUUAGAAUAAGUUACUAUAGGGAUAACAGCGUAAUUUUUUCAGAGAGUUCUCAUUGACGAAAAAGAUUGCGACCUCGAUGUUGACUUGUU